UAGCUUAGUGGUAGAGGUCUUGCUUAGCAUGCAUGAGGCCCUGGGUUCAAUUCCCAG
rnacentral:tRNA from 1 species